GAAAAGUAUCUUCUCCUUGUCUUUCAUGUUAAAUACCCUCCUUUUGGAUGCUUUGUUGUAUAUUUUCCUUUACUAAAUUGGCCAUGAAAAGUAUCUCCUCCUCAGUUGGCUUAUUUAAUUCUUUUCCGAUGUGUGCUUUUGUUUUUACUGUAUGAUCUAACUUCAUAAUGAUUUGUAGACAAGCUAGUGACUUUGAUACACUAGCAUUUACAUCUCAACUUGAUUGCUCAGUUGUGUGUCAUAUAAAGUUAAAGAUUUAUAUGUUUAUGUUUAACUAGGAUGUGUGAACUGCCACUGGUCUGGGACGAAGAUAAAAUGAAACUUGUUAGCAUCUAUGGUCAGGUGAAUUCAAGGUCGAUUGUUGCUGGCCUGGAUAUAGAAACACUCCCUCUGUCCAAAAAAGAAUUGUACUUCCUUUUUGGGUUGUAACAGAGUGGUUUUAGUUUCUCUUAAAAAGGGAAAGUUUUUAUAUAACUCGAAAGUUACCUGGGAUGCAUUUCUACUCUAUGAAAUACCACUUUUAUUCUAUUCUAUUAUCCGAAAAUAAAAGAUAAUUGUAUUUCCCACGUUUUCCCCUAGAAAUACUAAAUAACUCACUCUUUUAGCUAUUCUCUUUGUAUCAGUUACGGGUCAAACUAGCAUUCUUAAAAUUGGACAGGGGAUUCAUCUGAGCUAACUUCCUUGGUAAUUUCUAGCAUAUUGAGACGCUGCAUCUAAUUUUUCAGUGGCUCUGCAUUUUCCUGUGUUUUGGUAGAUUUUCUAGUCUGCCUAUCUUGUUUAAAGAUGUAAAAUUUGGUUCAACCACUGUAGAUGAACCCACUCAAAGCUUUCCAGUAGAGUAGAACUUUUUAUUUUAUUGUGAAGUGCUUCUGAGUUUAACCUCAAUUGACUGUCUUUCUUACAGCUUCCAGAAUUCUGCUCAAGGGAUAGCUCCUUAACUGUUAAGGAAAUAUUUGGAGUGGCAGAUGAGGAUGCUGAAAAGCUUCGUUUACAUACUAUCCCAGAAGCUGGGAACAUGUAUUCACUUGAGAGGAUGGUGAAUGAGUCAGAUUCAGAAGUUUGGGGUGAUGAAUCUGCUAAUGUUUCCUGAUUCACGUCGCUUGAGUGUAGGCCAGUUGUUGGUUGGGAACAUUGUGGAAAGUAAUACAAAACUAUGAUGAGAUAACUCAAUAUAACCUACACAUCCUUUGCAGGGCCAAGUCAUCAUCCCUAACAGCGGAUAAAGAGAAGUCAUAACUCCAAAACUGCAGCUAUAACUAAACCACCAUGGUCUUGUGAAAUUUGGUCUAGAAUUGCUUCAAUUUUGUGCCCAGACCACUUUUGAUACAAAAUGCUUGGUGUUUGUUGAAUGUGUUUGGUUCGAGGUAAACCUGUGUAUUUCAAAGGUGUAAGUCGUCAAACACCAGAAAUUAUUACAAGUUCCUUGGUGCCAGGGAACAUGAUUUUUGAGCUUAAGUUGUGGACAAUGCUAUAAUUGGUCGA